CAUUAUAACGCCCCCACGCCUGAAAGGGUGAGCAUGUUUGGUGUGACAGGAAUUCGAACCCGCGAUCCUCAGAUUGCGAGUCGAGUGCCUUAACCACCUGGCCAUGCCGGGCCUAAGAGUUUUUGAAACACCUAUUAGUGAAUACCUUUGGUAAGAUUUUUUGAAACACCUAUUUUCACGUCUAAACUUUUCGGAACGAAACUUAUGAUUUUUAAUGUGCCUCUGCUGUAAUUUAGUUUCCCUAGAUAAGUAGUUUUUAACAUAUAGUUACUAUUAUUUUAUGAUCACCUGUAGUGUUUAGUUCACGUUACAGUUUUUCUUGUGAAGGUUGGAAACAGUAUUUGUUAUUGAUAAAUGAUUAUUGCAAAUAUUUUGUAAACGUGAAACAUUGUUUCCUGCAUUUUAUAAUUGACUUUGUAAUAAAAUUGCCCAAAGUU